rnacentral:tRNA from 1 species
GCCGCAUUCGUCUAGUGGCUAAGACGCUGGCCUUUCAAGCCGGAAAAGAGGGAUCGAAACCCUCAUGCGGAACCA